GUGGGGAAUAUUGGGCAAUGGGCGAAAGCCUGACCCAGCAACGCCGCGUGAGGGAAGAAGGCCUUCGGGUUGUAAACCUCUGUCCUUGGUGACGAAGAAAGUGACGGUAGCCAAGGAGGAAGCCCCGGCUAACUACGUGCCAGCAGCCGCGGUAAUACGUAGGGGGCGAGCGUUGUCCGGAAUUACUGGGCGUAAAGGGUGCGUAGGUGGCCUUUUAAGUUGGAUGUGAAAUACCCGGGCUUAACUUGGGGGGUGCAUCUAAUACUGGGAGGCUAGAGUGCAGGAGAGGGAAGCGGAAUUCCUAGUGUAGCGGUGAAAUGCGUAGAUAUUAGGAGGAACACCAGUGGCGAAGGCGGCUUUCUGGACUGUAACUGACACUGAGGCACGAAAGCGUGGGGAGCAAACAGGAUUAGAAACCCGAGUAGUCC
rnacentral:rRNA from 1 species